rnacentral:rRNA from 1 species
AACGAACGCUGGCGGCAGGCCUAACAAAUGCAAGUCGAGCGGACCCUUCGGGGUUAGCGGCGGACGGGUGAGUAACGCGUGGGAACGUGCCCUUUGCUUCGGAAUAGCCCUGGGAAACUGGGAGUAAUACCGGAUACGCCCUUUUGGGGAAAGAUUUAUCGGCGAAGGAUCGGCCCGCGUUGGAUUAGGUAGUUGGUGGGGUAAUGGCCUACCAAGCCGACGAUCCAUAGCUGGGUUGAGAGGAUGAUCAGCCACACUGGGACUGAGACACGGCCCCGACUCCUACGGGAGGGAGGAGUGGGGAAUCUUAGGCAAUGGGGGAAACCCUGAUCAAGCCAUGCCGGGUGAGCGAUGAAGGCCUUAGUGUUGUAAAGCUCUUUCACCGGGGAAGAUAAUGACGGUACCCGGAGAAGAAGCACCGGCUAACUCCGUG